GGAGGGUUGGCAGAAUGGCUAUUGCGAUGGUCCCGAAAACCAUUGGGAGCAAUCCCUUGCAGGUUCGAAUCCUGCACCCUCCG
rnacentral:tRNA from 1 species